CGGUGGUUCGCAACGAACUCUGUACGGCAGGAGCGGGGGACCCACAGGUAAGUCGCCGGACCCGAAUUGACGGUCCGGCUUGGGGUGAAGCCGCAUUUCUCUGCGGCCGGGCAACUCCAGCCCGAACCCGACAGCUCACCUCGCAGGCGUCGGAGAGGACAGCU
rnacentral:sRNA from 2 species